CGCAUAUGAUAAAAAGCCUUUUUUCAACAGACUGGCCCCACAUAUGGAAAUGCCAGACUCUGCAGACAAGCACUGAUCUGCAGCGGCCACCUACUGGUAUUUUGAAAGACCACGAAGAGGACAAGCAAGGUGACCAUUGCAGGGAGAAGAACCCUAGAUCUCCUGCCCCUUGCAAUACAGUAUAGAGUUAGACCUUACAGAUGAUGACUGUGGAGCAACGUUCCUCAAGGUCUGGUUGUACGAUUACAUGAGCUCAUGUACCAAGGUCUCUCCAUACCCCUGAUGACUCCGCUGACACUCCUCAGAGACCUGCCCCACAGGAUAUAAAAACACGGCUCCCAGCUUGCCAGCUAAGAAGCCAGCGACAUCUUUUCUUUUAAGAUAUAAUUUCGUAUUUCAAGGUCACAAUCACCUGGCGACACGCUGAUAAUCACAGGACGAGUGGAGAAGACGAGAUGCAUGAGAAGCAAGCCUCACCACUGGGGACAUCUCCGCGUCUGACAUGACACGAGCCCGGUUUAUUAUUAAUUCGAUUUAUACAAGAAUUUCAAAAGGAAGAAAAAGAUUUUGUAUUUCAGUGUUGGGCCCCCAGCUCCCAAUUAUACGCAUCAGCCAUUACAUUGAAAACUGUCUAAUACUGUGUAGGUUCCUCUUGUGGCCGGCCAAACAGCU